rnacentral:rRNA from 1 species
AUUGAACGCUGGCGGCAGGCUUAACACAUGCAAGUCGAACGAGUGGCGGACGGGUGAGUAAUGCUUGGGCAUCUUCCUUAUGGAGGGGGAUAACUACGGGUAACUGUAGCUAAUACCGCGUACCAUAGGAUGAGCCCAAGUGGGAUUAGGUAGUUGGUGAGGUAAAGGCUCACCAAGCCGACGAACUCUAGCUGGUCUGAGAGGAGGACAAGGCACACUGGAACUGAGACACGGCCCAGACUCCUACGGGAGGCAGCAGUGGGGAAUAUUGGGCAAUGGGGGAAACCUGAGGCAGCCAUGCCGAGUGAAUGAAGAAGGCCUUCGGGUUGUAAAGUACUUUAGGUAGGGAGGCGUUAACUACAGAAGAAGCACCGGCUAACUCCGUGCCAGCAGCCGCGGUAAUAC